rnacentral:rRNA from 1 species
GACGAACGCUGGCGGCGUGCUUAACACAUGCAAGUCGAACGGUAAGGCCCUUCGGGGUACACGAGUGGCGAACGGGUGAGUAACACGUGGGUGAUCUGCCCUGCACUUCGGGAUAAGCCUGGGAAACUGGGUCUAAUAACGUAUAGUACUGCGGACUGCAUAGGCUGGGGUGGAAAGCUUUUGAGGGGUGGGAUGGGCCCGCGGCCUAUCCGCAUGUUGGCGGGGUGAUGGCCUACCAAUGCGACGACGGGUAGCCGGACUGAGAUGCGGCCCGGCCACACUGGGACUGGGAUACGGCACAGACUCCUACGGGAGGGAUCGGUGGGGAGUAUUGCACAAUGGGCGCAAGCCUGAUGCAGCGACGCGGCGUGAGGGAUGGCGGCCUUCGGGUUGUGAACCUCUUUCAGCAUCGACGAAGCGAAAGUGGCGGUAGGUGCAGAAGAAGGACCGGCCAACUACGUGCCAGCCGCCGCGGUAA